AUUGAACGCUGGCGGCAGGCCUAACACAUGCAAGUCGAGCGAGCGGCGGACGGGUGAGUAAUGUAUGGGGAUCUGCCUGAUGGAGGGGGAUAACUACUGGAAACGGUAGCUACUACCGCAUACCAUCAGAUGAACCCUUAUGGGAUUAGCUUGUAGGUGAGGUAACGGCUCACCUGGGCGACGAUCCCUAGCUGGUCUGAGAGGAUGAUCAGCCGCACUGGGACUGAGACACGGCCCUGACUCCAACGAGGGGCAGCAGUGGGGAAUAUUGGACAAUGGACGCAAGCCUGAUGCAGCCAUGCCGCGUGUGUGAAGAAGGCCUUCGGGUUGGAAAGUACUUUCAGUCGGGAGGCGUUACCGGCAGAAGAAGCACCGGCUAACUCCGUGCCAGCAGCCGCGGUAAUAC
rnacentral:rRNA from 1 species